rnacentral:tRNA from 1 species
UCCUCGGUAGCUCAGCGGUAGAGCAUGCGGCUGUUAACCGCAGGGUCGUAGGUUCGAAUCCUACCCGGGGAGCCA